UACGGGGGGAGCAAGCGUUGUUCGGAUUUACUGGGCGUAAAGGGCGCGUAGGCGGUCACGACAAGUCAGUUGUGAAAUCUCCGGGCUUAACUCGGAACGGUCAACUGAUACUGUCGGACUAGAGUGCAGAAGGGGCAACUGGAAUUCUCGGUGUAGCGGUGAAAUGCGUAGAUAUCGAGAGGAACACCUGCGGCGAAGGCGGGUUGCUGGGCUGACGCUGAGACGCGAAAGCGUGGGGAGCAAACAGG
rnacentral:rRNA from 1 species